CAUAAAACUGUACAGAUUGUUUUCAUAACUGUGGCAAACCUAGCCACUUGGGACUGCCUAAGAUAGAAUGGUUGUGCCUAUUUUCUGUUGUGUACUGCGCGCCGGUAUAGUGUGGCGUCUCCGGCUAUGUUUAAUUUAUGCUGUACUGUGUAUGUCUGUUCGAAUCCUCCCCAUUCGUUAGCAUUGCUAUUAAAACUGACUAAGUUGUAUAUUUUGAAGUAGAAAGGUA